rnacentral:rRNA from 1 species
GCCCAGACUCCUACGGGAGGCAGCAGUCGGGAAUCUUCCGCAAUGGACGAAAGUCUGACGGAGCAACGCCGCGUGAGUGAUGAAGGCUUUCGGGUCGUAAAACUCUGUUGUUAGGGAAGAACAAGUACGAGAGUAACUGCUCGUACCUUGACGGUACCUAACCAGAAAGCCACGGCUAACUACG